GAUGAACGCUGGCGGCGUGCCUAAUACAUGCAAGUCGAGCGAACAGACGAGGAGCUUGCUCCUCUGACGUUAGCGGCGGACGGGUGAGUAACACGUGGAUAACCUACCUAUAAUACUGGGAUAACUUCGGGAAACCGGAGCUAAUACCGGAUAAUAUAUUGAACCGCAUGGUUCAAUAGUGAAAGACGGUUUUGCUGUCACUUAUAGAUGGAUCCGGGCCGCAUUGUCUAGUUGGUAAGGUAACGGCCUACCAAGGCAACGAUGCGUAGCCGACGUGAUGGAGGGGUAGGCCGCAUGGGAGCUGAGACAGGGUCCAGGGGACUAAGGGAGGGAGCAGUCGGGUACGUGACGCAAUAGGGGGGAGCUUUGCAGAGCGACGGCGAGUGAGAUGUAGAGGUGUUCGGAGCGUGAAACUCUGUUAUUGGGGGAGAACAGAUGUGGCAGUAGCUAUGCCGGGCGUGACGGUACCUGAUCAGAAAGCCACGGCUAACUACGUG
rnacentral:rRNA from 1 species